rnacentral:antisense_RNA from 1 species
AUCGAAGCCCCAUUUCCGUAGGAGCGAAAUAGAAUGGCGCCCCCAGCGGCUUGGGGUGGGAUCUCAGCGCCUCAUUCCUAGGGGCCCGGGGAGGGCGAUGCCAAGUUUUGCUCUUGUUCCCUGGGCUGGAGUGCAGUGGCACCAUCUCGGCUCACCGCAACCUCCGCCUCCCAAGUUCAAGCGAUUCUCCUGCCUCAGCCUCCCCAGUAUCUGGGAUUAUAGUAAAAUUAAAACAGGCACAAUGAUAUCCUGGAUGACAAGAGCUGGAGGCUGUCAUUCUAACAAUGUAGUGGGACUGGCUGUCUUGUCUCAUGCCCACCCCUGGAAACAUGCGCAGGAACUCAAGCACCUAGCACAGAGGAAGUGUCUGGUUGUUUUAAAGGAAAAACAAAACCAAAAAAAGCACCUCCUGCUCUGACCACCCCUAUUUCCAGUUUUCCCUUUUGGCACAGCAAAGAUGACCUUGGGACUGAGGUGGAACCAUGUAAUUCUUCGUAAUCCCAGAGUCAGGCAGACCUGGGAGAUAACAUCCAUCUCGAAGGAAGAU